rnacentral:rRNA from 1 species
AACGUUAUUCGUAAUAACUGAGUGUACUGGAUAGGAAUAUAUAAGUAUUGGUUUAUUUUAAAAUACUAAACUGUUGUAAAAUAUAAAUUAUUUGUAAUUUGUAGAAUGUAAUGAUAAAAUAUAUUAACAUUCUUUGGAUUUCUAUUAAUCAAAUAUUUUUUAUUUUUUGUAGAUUUAUGAAGGUAUAAUUAUCAAAUAGGAUUCGGGACCCUAGUAGUUUAUACAGUGAACAAUGGCCGCUAUUAAUAUAAACGGCUCACUUAGGUAGUACGAUCGCAAGAUUGAAAUUUAACAGAAUUGGCGGGAAUUUAAUUUAACGGUGGAACAUGUGGUUUAAUACGAUAAUCCACGUAAAAACUUACCAGUGUGCUUUUUUUAUUUAAAUUUUUUAUUCUUAGGCUUUAAUAUAACUAUGUAGUAUUGCAUGGCUGUCGUCAGCUCGUGUUGUGAAAUGUAAAAUUAAGUUUUUUAACGAGUGAAAUCCCUGGUUUUUUUAUAUUUAUAAACUAUUGUUUAUAAUUAAAAACACUAUACGUUUAGGGGUGAAGUCAAGUCUGUAUGAUCUUUGAAUGCUGGGCUACACACGUGUUACAAUGGUAAUUACAAAAAAUGGUUUUUUUGUAAAAAUUUACUAUAUUUUAAAGAUUAUCAAUGUCCGAAUUAUUUCUUGUAAUUUAGAAAUAUUAAGAUGAAAUCGUUAGUAAUUGUAAAUUAGUAUGUUACAGUGAAUAUUCAAAUUAAAUUUUGUACACACUGCCCAUCACGCUCGAAAAAUGAAAUGCAUUUUAUUUUAAUAAAAACACAAGUAAAAUUAAAAUGUAUUUGUUAGUGGUUAGCAUGACUAUUAUUGUUUUUUUAGUAAAAUAAAAUUAUUUUGUAAUUUGAGUG